rnacentral:rRNA from 1 species
GACGAACGCUGGCGGCGUGCUUAACACAUGCAAGUCGAACGGAAAGGCCCUUCGGGGUACUCGAGUGGCGAACGGGUGAGUAACACGUGGGUGAUCUGCCCUGCACUUUGGGAUAAGCCUGGGAAACUGGGUCUAAUACCGAAUAGGACCGCGCGCUUCAUGGUGUGUGGUGGAAAGCUUUUGCGGUGUGGGAUGGGCCCGCGGCCUAUCAGCUUGUUGGUGGGGUAAUGGCCUACCAAGGCGACGACGGGUAGCCGGCCUGAGAGGGUGACCGGCCACACUGGGACUGAGAUACGGCCCAGACUCCUACGGGAGGCAGCAGUGGGGAAUAUUGCACAAUGGGCGCAAGCCUGAUGCAGCGACGCCGCAUGAGGGAUGACGGCCUUCGGGUUGUAAACCUCUUUCACCAGGGACGAAGCGCAAGUGACGGUACCUGGAGAAGAAGCACCGGCCAACUACGUG